CCUACGGGAGGCAGCAGUGGGGAAUAUUGCACAAUGGGGGAAACCCUGAUGCAGCGACGCCGCGUGAGUGAAGAAGUAAUUCGUUAUGUAAAGCUCUAUCAGCCGGGAAGAAAAUGACGGUACCUGAGUAAGAAGCCCCGGCUAACUACGUGCCAGCAGCCGCGGUAAUCCGUAGGGGGGCAGCGUUAACCGGAUUUACUGGGUGUAAAGGGGGCGUUGAUGGAAGUGCAAGUUUGGAGUGAAAGGCGGGGGCUCAACCCCCGGACUGCUCUGGAAACUGUACGGCUGGAGUGCAGGAGAGGUAAGUGGAAUUCCUGGUGUAGCGGUGAAAUGCGUAGAUAUUAGGAGGAACACCAGUGGCGAAGGCGGCUUACUGGACUGUAACUGACGUUGAGGCUCGAAAGCGUGGGGAGCAAACAGGAUUAGAUACCCGUGUAGUC
rnacentral:rRNA from 1 species